UCCCUGGGGGUCCAGUGGCUAAGACUGUGCACUCCCAGUGCAGGGGGCCUGGGUUCGAUCCCUAGUCAGGGAG
rfam:TPA: Bos taurus chromosome 18, whole genome shotgun sequence.